rnacentral:rRNA from 1 species
AGGACGAACGCUGGCGGCGUGCUUAACACAUGCAAGUCGAGCGACAGUGUUCUUCGGAACAUAUGGAGCGGCGAACGGGUGAGUAACACGUGGGCAACCUGCCCCUAGCUCUGGGAUAACUCCGGGAAACCGGGGCUAAUACCGGAUACGAUCUUCCAUGGCAUCUCGGAAGAUGGAAAGUUUUUUCGGCUAGGGAUGGGCCCGCGGCCUAUCAGCUUGUUGGUGAGGUAACGGCCCACCAAGGCGACGACGGGUAGCCGGCCUGAGCGGGCGACGGGCCACGACGUGGGACUGAGACACGGCCCAGACUCCUACGGGAGGCAGCAGUGGGGAAUAGUUGCGCAAGUGGGCGAAAGCCUGACGCAGCGACGCCGCGUGAGGGAUGAAGGUCCUUCGGGUUAUAAACCCGUUCGUUUCAGCGAGGACGAAGACGAGAGUCGACGGUCCGU